rnacentral:rRNA from 1 species
CUGUGACCCCUGGUGAGGCAGGACUACCCGAUUAGUUUCAUCAUAUUAAUCAGCA